AACGAACGCUGGCGGCGUGUUUAAGACAUGCAAGUCGCACGGUGUCAUUUUGGUAGCAAUACUUGGAUGGCACAGUGGCGCACGGGUGAGUAACACGUGAAUGACAUGCCCUGCAGAGGGGGAUAGCCCAGGGAAACUUGGAUUAAUACCCCAUGGUAUCGCGAGAUUAAAGGGUGGCCGCAAGGCUGCCGCUGCGGGAUUGGUUCGCGUUCUAUCAGCUUGUUGGCGGGGUAACGGCCCACCAAGGCUACGACGGAUACCUGGUCUGAGAGGACGAUCAGGCACACUGGAACUGAGACACGGUCCAGACACCUACGGGUGGCAGCAGUCGAGAAUAAUUCACAAUGGGGGCAACCCUGAUGGUGCAACGCCGCAUGGAGGAUGAAGGUCUUCGGAUUGUAAACUCCUGUCAUCCGGGAGCAAGACCUGGGAGUUAACAGCUCACAGGGUUGAUAGUACCGGAAGAGGAAGGGACGGCUAACUUCGUGCCAGCCGCCGCGGUAAUAC
rnacentral:rRNA from 1 species